GAAGUAUGAUAUCUCACGUUAGCUUCUAACUAACAAUGAAAAUGGUGAAAUUCCAUUUAUACUUCU
rnacentral:tRNA from 1 species